rnacentral:rRNA from 1 species
AGCGAACGCUGGCGGCAGGCUUAACACAUGCAAGUCGAGCGGGCCUUUCGGGGUCAGCGGCGGACGGGUGAGUAACGCGUGGGAACGUGCCCUCUGGUUCGGAAUAACUCAGGGAAACUUGAGCUAAUACCGGAUACGCCCUUUUGGGGAAAGGCUUGCUGCCGGAGGAUCGGCCCGCGUCUGAUUAGCUAGUUGGUGAGGUAACGGCUCACCAAGGCGACGAUCAGUAGCUGGUCUGAGAGGAUGAUCAGCCACACUGGGACUGAGACACGGCCCAGACUCCUACCGGAGGCAGCAGUGGGGAAUAUUGGACAAUGGGCGCAAGCCUGAUCCAGCCAUGCCGCGUGAGUGAUGAAGGCCUUAGGGUUGUAAAGCUCUUUUAUCCGGGACGAUAAUGACGGUACCGGAGGAAUAAGCCCCGGCUAACUUCGUG